AUACGAAAGGUGCAAGCGUUGUUCGGAUUUACUGGGCGUAAAGAGAUCGUAGGUGGUUUGUUAAGUUGGAUGUGAAAUCCCGGGGCUCAACCUCGGAACUGCAUCCAAAACUGGCAGACUUGAGUUCGGGAGGGGUAAGCGGAAUUCCGUGUGUAGCAGUGAAAUGCGUAGAUAUACGGAGGAACACCUGAGGCGAAGGCGGCUUACUGGACCGAUACUGACACUGAGGAUCGAAAGCGUGGGUAGCAAACAGAAUUAGAAACCCUAGUAGUCC
rnacentral:rRNA from 1 species